rnacentral:rRNA from 1 species
UACGGGGGGAGCAAGCGUUGUUCGGAUUUACUGGGCGUAAAGGGCGCGUAGGCGGUCAGCACAAGUCAGUUGUGAAAUCUCCUGGGCUUAACUCGGAAAGGUCAACUGAUACUGUGCGACUAGAGUGCAGAAGGGGCAACUGGAAUUCUCGGUGUAGCGGUGAAAUGCGUAGAUAUCGAGAGGAACACCUGCGGCGAAGGCGGGUUGCUGGGCUGACACUGACGCUGAUGCGCGAAAGCCAGGGGAGCGAACGGG